ACGGGUGAGUAACACGUAUGCAAUCCACCUGUAACAGGGGGAGUAACCCGGAGAAAUCCGGACUAAUACCCCAUAAUAUGGGCGCUCCGCAUGGAGAGUCCAUUAAAGAGAGCAAUCUUGGUUACAGACGAGCAUGCGCUCCAUUAGCCAGUUGGCGGGGUAACGGCCCACCAAGCGACGAUGAUAGGGGUUCUGAGAGGAAGGUCCCCCACAUUGGAACUGAGACACGGUCCAA
rnacentral:rRNA from 1 species